AAACCACACUGGUUUCUUGAAAUAGCUGUGCCGUUUCAGUAGGCUGAGUUUUGACCAUGGAUUCUUCACUAGCUUGAAUAUAACUAACUGAAUAUAGACAGGAAGUAGAAGUCAUGCACCAAAGGUCUAGAAGAAGAAAUAACCCAGCCAUGGUAGCUGGGAGUGGCCUUCAGUUCAAUGAGGAACUACCAGAGGUGGCAGUCUGCUCUGCAGAGGUGCCAGUGAUGGGCAGAGAGAGGCAAGUAAGCUUAACUGGACAUGUGGCCAGGUGUAGGGAUUAAGAGCACAGAUGUUGGAGCCAGCCCUGUGGGUUCGAACCCUACCUCUGCCAAUUUCUUCCUAGCUGUGGGAUCUUGGGACAGUCACCUUACCUCUCUGUGUCUCCGUUUCCCCUCUCUCUCUCACAGCUAUGGUGAAGACAAAAUGAGUGAAUAUAUACCAGGUGUGAGCGAGACUGGCCUGUUGGAGGAGGAACAAAGGAAAGACAGUGGGGCUGGCCAAAGAGGAGGCCACAACAGGGGCAGGAACAAUUCAUGGAGGGCCAUAGAGGCCCCAGCAGAGAGAAAUGUCACUGGAAUCUCUGACAGAAGUCUGUCAAUCAGAGAGGAGCCAGUGAGCAAGUCUGCCCCACCACAGCUCUGGAUGACAUCUGUGUCUGGAAGAACAUUACCUGGAUGGGACCACUGGGCGGUGGUCAAUAAAUUCUCGAAGUCGGAUGGCAGCCAUGGGGGAUGGGAGUCUAAAAAAUAUUAUAGAGUGAAAGAUGAGAUUGCAAAUUUAUACACACUACAUACUAUAUUACAUAUUGCACAUAUACACUAUACACAGUCCAUUUCCAUGCAGGAGCUGUCUAGUGCCACCAAGUCUGCCUUGAAAGAAAUAAUAGUAAGAAAACUGAAGAGUAGAUAGAUUAUCCAUGGCUUUGGCUAGACCACUUAGAGAGGAAAUAAACUAGUAAAGGGGCGGGGGGCGGGGAGUGGGAAGCAUAAGCUAAUACACACAGAUGCACUUUUUUAAACAGAAACUACUGAAGUGCCUGGGUGGCUCAGUCAGUUAAGCGUCCGACACCUGGUUUUGGCUGAAUCAUG